UUGCUGGGUGGAUCAGUGGCGAACGGGUGAGUAACACGUGAGCAACCUGCCCUCCACUUCGGGAUAAGCCUUGGAAACGGGGUCUAAUACCGGAUAUGAGCCUGCAUCGCAUGGUGUGGGUUGGAAAGUUUUUCGGUGGGGGAUGGGCUCGCGGCCUAUCAGCUUGUUGGUGGGGUGAUGGCCUACCAAGGCGUCGACGGGUAGCCGGCCUGAGAGGGCGACCGGCCACACUGGGACUGAGACACGGCCCAGACUCCUACGGGAGGCAGCAGUGGGGAAUAUUGCACAAUGGGCGAAAGCCUGAUGCAGCGACGCCGCGUGAGGGAUGACGGCCUUCGGGUUGUAAACCUCUUUCAGCAGGGAAGAAGCGCAAGUGACGGUACCUGCAGAAGAAGCGCCGGCUAACUACGUGCCAGCAGCCGCGGUAAUACGUAGGGCGCAAGCGUUGUCCGGAAUUAUUGGGCGUAAAGAGCUCGUAGGCGGUCUGUCGCGUCUGGUGUGAAAUCCCGAGGCUCAACCUCGGGCUUGCAUCGGGUACGGGCAGACUAGAGUGCGGUAGGGGAGACUGGAAUUCCUGGUGUAGCGGUGGAAUGCGCAGAUAUCAGGAGGAACACCGAUGGCGAAGGCAGGUCUCUGGGCCGCAACUGACGCUGAGGAGCGAAAGCAUGGGGAGCGAACAGGAUUAGAUACCCUGGUAGUCCAUGCCGUAAACGUUGGGCACUAGGUGUGGGGCUCAUUCCACGAGUUCCGUGCCGCAGCUAACGCAU
rnacentral:rRNA from 1 species